rnacentral:siRNA from 1 species
AGCCAUGCAUGUGUAAGUAUG